rnacentral:rRNA from 1 species
GUGAUAGCGACUGCGGACGAUCAUUAUUGAAACUUCUUUGGAGAUAAGUACUGUUGCUGGCCUUGUAAUUGAGGCAUGUGCACGUCUUAUUUCUAAUCCAUUCAUCCACCUGUGCACUUUUUGUAGGAGUUCUUUGAAGUUGGCUUUAAUGUUGACUUCGAAAAAAAAGGGCUUCUAUGUUCUUACAAACCCAUUGAAGUAUGUUUGGAAUGGAAUGGCUAUUGGGGACUUCAUUGACCCUUUAAACCUAUACAACUUUUAGCAAUGGAUCUCUUGGCUCUCCCAUCGAUGAAGAACGCAGCGAAAUGCGAUAAGUAAUGUGAAUUGCAGAAUUCAGUGAAUCAUCGAAUCUUUGAACGCACCUUGCGCCCUCUGGUAUUCCGGAGGGCAUGCCUGUUUGAGUGUCAUUAAAUUCUCAACUUCAAAAGGUUUUCAUUAACUUUCUGAAGCUUGGAUGUGGGGGCUUGCUGGCGUCUUUGGAUGUUCGGCUCUCCUUAAAGAUAUUAGUGGGGAAUGUCUUUUGUUGGGCGGUCCUUGGUGUGAUAGUUAUCUACGCUUUGGAAAGUCUAAUGGUUCCAUUGGGAUUAGUAGUAUUGCGAUUAAGUUUGCUUUACUUGGGUCUCAGAGGAGAAGAUAAAGUUCUGCUUUCUAGCUGUCUGUGUUACAUGGACAAUUUUAUUGACUAUUUGACCUCAAAUCAGGUAGGACUACCCGCUGAACUUAAGCAUAUCAUAACCGCGAGAGAAA